CCAGAGAAUUUAGCAGAGAUGCUUUAGUGCCUUCGGGAACUCUGAGACAGGUGCUGCAUGGCUGUCGUCAGCUCGUGUUGUGAAAUGUUGGGUUAAGUCUCGNAACGAGCGCAACCCUUAUCCUUUGUUGCCAGCACGUAAUGGUGGGAAACUCAAAGGAGACUGCCGGUGAUAAACCGGAGGAAGGUGGGGAUGACGUCAAGUCAUCAUGGCCCUUACGAGUAGGGCUACACACGUGCUACAAUGGCGCAUACAAAGAGAAGCGACCUCGCGAGAGCAAGCGGACCUCAUAAAGUGCGUCGUAGUCCGGAUUGGAGUCUGCAACUCGACUCCAUGAAGUCGGAAUCGCUAGUAAUCGUAAAUCAGAAUGUUACGGUGAAUACGUUCCCGGGCCUUGUACACACCGCCCGUCACACCAUGGGAGUGGGUUGCAAAAGAAGUAGAUAGCUUAACCUUCGGGAGGGCGUUUACCACUUUGUGAUUCAUGACUGGGGUGAAGUCGUAACAAGGUAAGCGUAGUGCU
rnacentral:rRNA from 1 species